GUCACCCGGGCUGGAGUGCAGGAGGACAAUCUCGGCUCGCUGAAACCUCUGCCGCCUGGGUUCAAGCAAUUCUCUGGGAUAAUGGAAGUCUUAAAAAGAAAAUGGAUACUUCUCUGCCAGGGGAGAUACUGUGAUCAUGAAGGUGGCUUUCCCAGGGCAAGGCUGAUCUAUUGCAUUCUGGAUGUGCUGACUCCUACGAUUUCCCCAAGUGUGGGAAACUCAACUGCAUAAUUUGUGGAAAAUUUGAAGCCAGAUGACAAAGAUGCCUUAGAUGAGCAUAAGUCCUCUCCAACAGAAUAUGCUCCAUUAUAUCCUCAUCCAACAGGCUUUAUGUAUCAAUAGCCUGCCAACAGGACAUUGUUCAUCCACCUUGAAACGGCCAUUCAUCAACCAAGCAGGUUGUUGUUGUCAAUAGGGAGCUCUUCAAAGGGCAUUGCCCAUGUGACAGUGGGAUCCAGUAAUUCCUGAGGUGGUUCCAGACUACAUGCUAGAAAAUUCCCUACUACCUGCUCUUGAACAGGAUGAGCAACUCCUUGCACUUCCCUGGUUUGUGAUGAAGAAAUAAACAAUGCCCAGUUCCUGCCCUGGAGAAGCUCAUUGCAUAGAAAAAGGAAAAAGGCAGAUAUACAUGCCACAGUACAGUGCUGAGACAACAUAAAUCACAAGCAACCAAGUACAAAGUGAAUUAUACAGAAUCUGGUUUUCUUCUGUUUGGAUUUGAUACUGAGCUAUACUGGAUUCACUGACAAGAAGAGUUUGAAUUAGCAGCAUGCUGAGAAUGGACACAGUGUUUGAAGAGACUGAUAAAGAAAGUACAGGAGGAGUUUUAUUUUUGGAAGAAGAAAUGGUCCUUGGGCACAGACCCCAUAUGAGUUUUCCUUUCAGCGUUCUCUGCUCAGCUGUUCUCUGCUGUGGUGAGGCGCCUAUGCUUUGUAUAUGUCUGAAAUUAAUUGAAAAGCUAGUGACAGAUUCUGAUGUCAUUUGCCAUGAGCUUUAUUAUUGUGCAGGUAAUUUUGGAUCAAAUCACCCUAACGUUUUUCAACAAAGACUUUAGAAGAAAUAAAGCUGCAUUACUUUUUCUUGGCGCAUUCUUCCUUUAGGACCUAUAGUGAGGCAAUGUGUCCAUGCCCGUCUCUUGUGGGUCAGUCACCACUGACACCUUAUUUUGACCACUCGAUGCCAUCAUCUUUCUCUCAUCGAUCCUAAUCCUUGGGACUACGCAUCAAUGUCUGCACAGUGAUGUUUUAAAUAGAGACAGAACUUGCCCUGUGGCCCACGUUGGAGUCCGCUGGCAUGAUCGUGAUCCACUGCAGCCUCAACUUCUUUGGGUUCAAAUGAACUUCCCACCUUAGCCACCUGAGCAUCUCGCCUAUCUGGACUCCACCUAUCCUCCCCUGUCAGCAUCUCACAGCAUAGGCAUGGGCCACCAGAACCAGCUUAUUUUUGUAUUUUUUUAAGCAGAAGAGAUCUUACCAUGUUGUGAAGACUGGUCUCGUACUUCUGGCUGAAGUGAUUUGUUCUCCUAAGCCUUCCAAAUUGGUGGGAUUACAUAUGUGAACCACCACACAAAGACUCCUACUGGUAUAUUUAGAAGGAUAUAAGUAUGCCGGUUUUUGGAUGCAUGCAUGGAGAAGACCCCAAAGCUUUUCACUUUUCCCUGAGUUUGGGCUAAACACUAGAGUUCCUCAAAGAGUCCAUAUCCAAAGUCUGGGCAGUUUUUCUUUUCUUUCUUUUCCUUUUUUUUUUUCUUGGAUUGUUUUUAAAAAAUAUGUCGAGAAUAGUAGACCAUCAAAAAGGUGACAGAACACAGAUUAAGUGGAUAUACAACACAAAGAAUGCAGACCACAAAAAUAGCUCUGGAGGGUUGCUACACAAGUAAACAACCCACAAACUAAGGAAUUGUGGAUGUUAAGAAUUUGUUAUCCAAAUAUGCUGAAUACUAUCCAAUAUUUCAAUUCACUUCAUUUUACUAUUCUCAAAGACCUAAGGGAACCCAGGAGUACAGUGAUUCAAAACUGAAAAUACCAGUAAAGACAUACAGAUUAUUUUAAAAAUGAAAUCAAUAACCUUGAAGUUACUAGGAAGCUGUGUGAUUGAAAGUCAGUCACUCAAUCACAUGAUCCUGGGAUUUUCCUCUACAUGUGGGACUACCCAUACCUUGCAGCAUUGCUGUGAGUUCACCUGAGCAAGACACCUGCACAUGGUGGUGCUCAGGAAAUGUUAAUUUCCCUUUAUUGAAAUGGAACAACCCAUGGGUAUUAUGUCUUGAGGUCUGGAUUACAGUUGAGCAAGAUACAGAAGACGUUGUAAACCCUGAGGAGGCAUCACUGAUCACUGGGAGUCUGGAAAGGCAGCAGAGAAAAAGUGACCUGCAGCUGGAAAUGGCCAAUGGGUCUGUUACAGGAAGUUACACAGGCAUGAGUGGGGCAGAAGAGAGUUCUCCCAUCCACCUACCAGGAAUGUCAGGCCAUCGGGUAAUGGUUGGACAGUUAUCACAUUGCUUUUCUAAAAAUAAUAAUUUAGCAGCAGAGCCAGGGAUAGACAAGUUCCUACUGAUACACAGCUGGUAACAUUAAAGUGUUAACUAAAGUCACACUCCCGGGAGGGGGAAAAAGGGCUUCUAGUAAAAUUUUACAUACUGGGUGAGUGAACUGAGACAUGCACAUUAAGAGACGAAAUGGUACAGCAUGACUUUCUGGGGUCACUCCACCAAAAAAAGGGAGGAAGCUUCAGAUGGGCAUGCAUAUAAAUGCUCAAACACACUGCCUAUGCUCACUUCUCAAGGGUAAGGAGGGCACUGUGCCUGCUGGCAGCCCACACUUAGGAAAGAAUCAUGGAAAAAGGUGCACCAGAUGCUCAAGGUGGGCCAGCCUAUAAAGUCCCAGAAUGAAGAGAAAUGGCCACACUUGUUCUUCAAGUCACCCACUUGGAUCUCUUCCAAGUGCACUUUUCAUUCUUUCCUGCUCUAAAGCUUUUUAAUAAAUGUCCACUCCUGCUGUGAAACUUGCCUCAGGAUUUUUUUUCCUUCUUUAUGCCCAUCAGUUGAACUCUUUCACCUGAGGAGGCAAGAACUGACAUUGCUAAAGACGCAGAUGGAUUUGCUGCCAGUAACUCCGAUACUUUCCACCAGUAACAGAUCUAGGAGCUGGUGGACAUAGUUGCUGAAGCAUGUGUCCAGAAUGUUUCUGCCCAGGCCACAAGCAGUCCUGCACUGUAAAGGGACUUGAACCCCAAGCUCAGGGGACACCAUGGAAAGAGACUUCAGCCCGCUGAUGGAAUACUGGAGAUAGGAAUUUUUUAUUGAGGUAUAAUUCCCAUAAUAUGUUAACUGUUUUUUAAGGUAUAAUUCAGUGACACAGGAAUGUGCAUGUUCUACCACUUCUUAAUUCCAAAUUAUUUUCAUCAUCUCAAAAGGAAAUCCCCUACCUAUUAAGGAGCUACUACCCAAUCUGUCCUCUUUCUGACUCCUGACAAUUAACAAUCUGUUUUCUUUCUCUGUGAAAUUAUUUAUUUUGGAUAUGUUUAUAAAUAAAAUCAUACAAUACGUGA